GACGAACGCUGGCGGCGUGCUUAACACAUGCAAGUCGAACGGUGAAGGAGAGCUUGCUCUCCGGAUCAGUGGCGAACGGGUGAGUAACACGUGGGCAACCUGCCCCAGACUUCGGGAUAACGCUUCGAAAGAGGUGCUAAUACCGGAUACGAACUCCUUGGGCAUCCUUGGAGUUGGAAAGUUUUUCGGUCUGGGAUGGGCCCGCGGCCUAUCAGCUUGUUGGUGAGGUAACGGCUCACCAAGGCGACGACGGGUAGCCGGCCUGAGAGGGCGACCGGCCACACUGGGACUGGGACACGGCCCAGACUCCUACGGGAGGCAGCAGUGGGGAAUAUUGCGCAAUGGGCGAAAGCCUGACGCAGCAACGCCGCGUGAGGGAUGACGGCCUUCGGGUUGUAAACCUCUUUCAGCAGGGAAGAAGCGAAGGUGACGGUACCUGCAGAAGAAGCACCGGCUAACUACGUGCCAGCCGCCGCGGUAAAAC
rnacentral:rRNA from 1 species